rnacentral:rRNA from 1 species
GGCUUUGAUGGUGUGCACUGCMUUCUKGAGACCGUAGCAMGAYGGACUAYAGCGAAAGCAUUUGGCAAGAAUGUCUUCAUUAAUCAAGAACGAAAGUCAGAGGUUCGAAGGCGAUCAGAUACCGCCCUAGUUCUGACCGUAAACGAUGCCAACUAGCGAUCCGCCGGCGGAUUUAUUCGCCCUGGUGGGGAGCUUCCCGGAAACGAAAGUCUUCCGGUUCCGGGGGAAGUAUGGUUGCAAAGCUGAAACUUAAAGGAAUUGACGGAAGGGCACCACCAGGAGUGGAGCCUGCGGCUUAAUUUGACUCAACACGGGGAAACUCACCCGGCCCGGACACCGUAAGGAUUGACAGAUUGAUAGCUUUUUCAUGAUUCGGUGGAUGGUGGUGCAUGGCCGUUCUUAGUUCGUGGAGCGAUUUGUCUGGUUUAUUCCGAUAACGAGCGAGACUCUAGCCUACUAAAUAGUUGGCUCAUUGCUACUGUGGGCACAACUUCUUAGAGGGAUUUUCGGUGUUCAGCCGCACGAAAUUGAGCAAUAACAGGUCUGUGAUGCCCUUAGAUGUCCGGGGCUGCACGCGCGCUACACUGGCAAAAUCAGCGUGCUUGUCCUUCCCCGAAAGGGGUUGGUAAACCGGUGAAAAUUUGCCGUGAUUGGGAUCGGACAUUGCAAUUAUUGUCCGUGAACGAGGAAUUCCUUGUAGGGGCGAGUCAUCAACUCGCUCUGAUUACGUCCCUGCCCCUUUGUAA